GGCAAAUGUAAGCCACCGACCAACUAACUAUCCAUUAAUUUUUAAAUAAUUAGUAUUUGAAUAAUAACUUGCGAAGUUUUGCUUGUCAUUCCACAUAUGUUUCACCCUCUCGGCCACCGUUGAGCAGGCUAUACGCGAAAACCACGUUGCAUGCGUAAAUGGCCAAACCAUCUAUUGACCAAUCCUCAUUUUACCGCUGGUAGGAAAAAAUGGUGCAACUACGUCCUAUAAUUGAAAAUUUUUU